rnacentral:lncRNA from 1 species
GUACGCAAUCAUACCUAGCAUAUUUACAACAUCAUUAGAUAUUUGUAGAUAUGAAUAUAUUGUAAAAAUAAGAGAAUUGAAACAAAUAUAAAAAAUGAAUAACUCAUGCUAUCAAAAUUCUUAAAUCUUGCACCUACACGUGAGAAUAACAUAGUAUCUACUACAUACAUGUUUCAUGUAGAUCCCUAUUAAUUAAAACAACCAACUUAUGGGUAAAAAAAUGAAAUGUAAAGUACUUGUGCAUAUCAUCUGAAUAAGAAAAACAAAAACACUGGUCAAAGGGGGACAGUACAUAUUGAAGAAGGGAUAGUUAUGCAUUGAGAAAACAAACAAGUACAUACUUCUACAGGUGUGUCGAGUAGUAUAUUAUUUUUCCAUCCUUGUAAGUAGGCAUGAAUUGACUUGUCAAUAUUUGGCAGAACAGCACCUUUGGGUACCACCAAUUUGCAAAAAAUAGGUUGCCCAACCCCAGAACCUACCCUAUUAUAUAGAGCAUUAAGAAAUUGGAUAUACCCUAAAGAACAAUAUCCACAUAUUGUUGACAGUUGACAGUUGAAAAUUAGACCAAAACAGAUAUAUAGUGAAAAUAAAACCAAAAGGAUAUGAAGGAGACAGUAAUAGACCUAUCUAAGAAUGUGGACAUUUUGCCCAAGGAUACAUUUCUCUAGCAACCGUAAGAUAUCAUCAACAUACAGCUGAAGAAUUACUAUUUGACAAGAAUUAGCAUUUGACAGGAACAAUAAUAAAUAAAUUAAUAAGUGGUGAUGCAAAAUUACCACCAGCAGUUUGUGAGGUAACAUGAUGGCAGUGCAGCCUGAAGGAUCGACAUCAUAAGCUUCGCUUACAUGUAGCUAGGGCCACAUCAAUCUCAGCACCAACAUCCGAAGAUCUGCAGUCCCAUCAAAAUGUCCAACUUUAAGCUCCAAUCUGGGUGUUGAGAAAAUUGCAUACAAAAUCUGGGUGUCCAUGAGAUAGACCUGGGCAAAGCAUCCGACAAAACUUAGCACACUAUUAAAACAACUUUUGACAGAGAAUUGAGACAUACAAGAAUUUCAUUGGAGCCCAAAGUGCAAUGACAACACCAAUAUUAUUAUUUGCUGCAAACCAAGAUCAAAUAAUAACACCAAACUUUUCAAACCUGCAGAUUGUUACACUAUUUCAUUAU